UACGUAGGGCGCAAGCGUUAUCCGGAAUUAUUGGGCGUAAAGGGCUCGUAGGCGGUUUGUCGCGUCGGGAGUGAAAACCCAGGGCUUAACCCUGGGCUGGCUUCCGAUACGGGCAGACUAGAGGUAUGCAGGGGAGAACGGAAUUCCUGGUGUAGCGGUGAAAUGCGCAGAUAUCAGGAGGAACACCGGUGGCGAAGGCGGUUCUCUGGGCAUUACCUGACGCUGAGGAGCGAAAGUGUGGGGAGCGAACAGG
rnacentral:rRNA from 1 species